UCCCUGAGAGCAAAUCUUAUCAUGGCUUCU
rnacentral:piRNA from 1 species